CCUACGGGAGGCAGCAGUGGGGAAUAUUGGACAAUGGGGGGAACCCUGAUCCAGCCAUGCCGCGUGUGUGAAGAAGGCCCUCGGGUUGUAAAGCACUUUCAGUGAGGAAGAACGCCUGGUGGUUAAUACCCAUCAGGAAAGACAUCACUCACAGAAGAAGCACCGGCUAACUCCGUGCCAGCAGCCGCGGUAAUACGGAGGGGGCGAGCGUUAAUCGGAAUUACUGGGCGUAAAGCGCGCGUAGGUGGCUUGAUAAGCCGGUUGUGAAAGCCCCGGGCUCAACCUGGGAACGGCAUCCGGAACUGUCAAGCUAGAGUGCAGGAGAGGAAGGUAGAAUUCCCGGUGUAGCGGUGAAAUGCGUAGAGAUCGGGAGGAAUACCAGUGGCGAAGGCGGCCUUCUGGACUGACACUGACACUGAGGUGCGAAAGCGUGGGUAGCAAACAGGAUUAGAUACCCUAGUAGUC
rnacentral:rRNA from 1 species